rnacentral:rRNA from 1 species
AUGGGGGUGGCGCCGGCGGUGGGCGUGGUGGCGAGCCUGUGCUGCGUGGGGGCCUGCGCCCUGGCGCUCUACCUCUACCGCAUCCUCUGGCUGGCGCCGGAGACGGUCCGCCGCGCGCUGAGGAGGCAGGGGGUCCGCGGGCCGCCGCCGUCCUUCCCCUACGGCAACCUCGCCGACAUGAGGCAGGCCGCGGCUGCAGCCAAACGGACGCGCGGCGCCGGCGACGUCGUGCACGACUACCGCUCCGCCGUGUUUCCCUUCUACGAGAAGUGGAGGAACGAGUACGGCCCGGUGUUCACCUACUCCGUGGGCAACAUGGUGUUCCUGCACGCCAGCGACCCGGCCGUGGUCCGCGACGUGUGCCUCUCCGUCUCGCCCGACGAGCUCGGCAAGAGCUCCUACAUGAAGGUCACGCACCACCCGCUCUUCGGCGACGGCAUCCUCAAGUCCAACGGCGACGCCUGGGCACGCCAGCGCAAGCUCAUCGCCCCCGAGUUCUUCCCCGACAAGGUCAAGGGUAUGGUGGAUCUGAUGGUGGACUCGGCGCGGGCGCUGGUGUGUUCAUGGGAAGCCAGGGUGGCCAGGACCGACGGCGGCGCCAUGGAGCUUACGGUCGACGACGACUUCAGGACCUACUCCGGGGACGUCAUCUCCCGGACCUGCUUCGGGAGCAGCUACGUCAAGGGCAAGAGGAUCUUCGCCAUGAUCAGGGAGCUGCAGAAGACGGUGUCCAGGCCGAACCUGCUCGCCGAGAUGACCGGGCUCAGGUUCCUGCCCACGAGGAGCAACAGGGAGGCGUGGCGGCUCAACCGGCGCGUGCGGCGGCUCAUACUGGACGUCGUGAGGGAGAGCGGCGAGGCGGACGGCGGGAACAACCUGCUCAACGCCAUGCUCCGCAGCGGCCAGGCCGAGGCGGGCGUCGGCGUCGCGGCGGCCGAGGACUUCGUGGUCGACAACUGCAAGAACAUAUACUUCGCCGGGUACGAGACCACGGCCGUGACGGCGGCCUGGUGCAUGAUGCUCCUGGCGCUCCACCCGGAGUGGCAGCGCCGGGUGAGGGACGAGGCACGGGAGGCCCUCGCCGGCGGCGGCGCGCUGGACCUCUCGUCGCUCCAGAGAAUGAAGCAGCUGACGAUGGUGAUCCAGGAGACGCUGCGGCUGUACCCGGCGGGCUCGGUGGUGUCGCGGCAGGCGCUGCGGGAGCUCACCCUCGGCGGCGUCCGCGUGCCCAAGGGCGUCAACAUCUACGUGCCGGUGUCCACGGUGCACCUGGACGCGGAGCUCUGGGGCUCCCACGCGCGGGAGUUCGAUCCGGAGCGGUUCGCGGCGCGGCCGCAGCUGCACUCGUACCUGCCGUUCGGCGCUGGGGCGCGCACCUGUCUCGGCCAGGGCUUCGCCAUGGCCGAGCUCAAGGUGCUGCUCUCGUUCCUGCUCUUCAGGUUCGAGGCGGCUCUGUCGUCAGACUACCUACACUCGCCGGUGCUCAGGCUCACCGUGGAGCCGGAGCACGGCGUGCGGCUCGUGCUGAGGAGCGUCCGCCCCAACGGCGAGUCUUAG